rnacentral:lncRNA from 1 species
CUGGUUUCAAACUCCUGACCUCAUGAUCCAAACACCUCAGCCUCCCAAAGUGCUAGGAUUACAGGUGUGAGCCACCGUGCUCAGCCUAUUUUAUUUUUAUUUUAUUUUAUUGAGACAGUCUCACUAUUCUGCUCAGGUUACAACUGAACUGGGUCAAGCAAUCUGCCUCAGCCUCCCAAGUAGCUGGGACUACAGGAGCACGUCACUGCACCCAGCUCGCAACUGCCUUUGACACUGUGCUGCCAAGCAUCUUGUAGCAGACCCAGGGCCAUUGUUUGCCAACAGGAUCAGCAGUUGGAAGAACUGGACACUGAAAAGAACUGGACAUAGGGCGGAGGAGUAAGGACAAACCAGAAUCCACUGGCCUCUCUAUAGUCUGUUUCCACAUAGACAGGGUCUUCCUAUGUUUCCAGGCUGGUCUUGAAUUCCUGGGCUCGAGCAAGCCUCCCAAAGUGCUGAGAUUACAGCCAUGGACCAGGAUAGUACUGCCUGCCAAGAGACCCAGUAAGUGACCCAAUAGGAAGCGUCCCAGGACACAGAGGAAGCCAUACAUGGCUGCAUACCUAGUAUCAGGCCCACUGUCUGCAGACCUUCAAGUGGAUCUUCAUCCAAGCACCAGCCCUGGAACAAGGUCCUAGAAACAUUCUAAUCUCCUUAGGGACCAGAAAGGAUCCAUACCCACUAGAGCUCCUGGUAACAGGCCUGCCAUCUGCAGACCCCACUGCAGACACGGAAGCAACCAUGUGACCCAGCUCCAACCAUGGUCCCAGAGGCAAUCUUAUUAACUUGAGAGCCUAAUAGAAGUUCUUAACCUACUGAUAGCAAUCUAUAAAGACUAGAAGUGGUGCUUGUGCCUUCAAAUGCAGACACGAAAGCCAAUCUACAUGGAUAAUGAAGAAUCAGGCACACAUCCUACCACCAAAGGAAACUAAUAAAGCUCCAGCAACUGAAUCUAAAUAAAUGAAGAUCUACAAAUUGCCUGAAAGAGAAUUGAAAAUAAUUAUCUUAAGUAAGCAUAAUGAGAUGCAAGAAAAUACAGAUAUACAACUAAAUAAAAUUAGGAAAACACUGCAUGAACAAAAUGAGACUUUAAUAAAGAAAUAGUAACCACGAAAAAGGAACCUAACAGAAAUCCAGAAGCUGAAGGAUACAGUCAAGAAAAGUGUAAUAGAGAGCUUCAACAGCAGACUCAAUCAUGCAGAAUAAGCAAUUAGAAAACUCAAAGACAGGUCAUUCAAUAUUAACCAAUUAGAGGAACAACAACAACAAAAGGAAUGAAGAAAGCAUAGGGAACCUAGGGGACGCCCUCAAGUGUAUGAAUGCACAAAUUAUGAGAAUCCAAGGAGAAAGAGCCCUGUCUGAAACUCCCCAAGUCUUGGGAAGGAGAUGAACAUCUAGAUUCAUGAAGCUCAAGGAAUCCCAAGAAAGAUAAACCCAAAGAAGAAUACGCUGAGGAAUAGUACAGUCAAAUUGUCAAAAAUUACAGAGAAUUUUGAAACUAGAGAAAGAAAAUAAACUUAUACAAGGUAAACUCCAUAAGGCUAACAGACUUCUCAACAUAGACUUGCAAGCCAGGAGGGAGUGGAUUGAUACAUUCAAGGUGUUGAAAGAAACAACUUUCAGCCAUGAAUACUAUAACCAGCAAAGCUAUCCUUCAGAAAUAAAGGAAAGAUAAAACUUUCCUAGACAAACAAAAGCUGAGGGAAUUUAUCACCACUAGACCAGCCUUUGAAGAAUUGCUAAAUGGAGUUCUUUGGGUUAAAAUAAAGGAUGCUUAUUAACAAAAUGAAAAUAUAUGGGCCGGGCACUCAUGCCUGUAAUCCCAGCACUUUGGGAGGCCAAGGUGGGUGGAUCACCUGAGGUCAGGAGUACGAGACCAGUCUGGACAACAUGGUGAAACCCCACCUGUACUAAAAAUACAAAAAUUAGCUGGGCUUGGUGGUGCAUGCCUAUAAUCCCAGCUACUUGGGAGUCUGGGGCAGGAAAAUCGUUUGAACCUGGGAGGCGGAGGUUGCAGUGAGCCAAGAUCAUACCACUGCAUUCCAGCCUGGGUGAGUGACAGAGUCAAAUUCCAUCUAAAAAAAAAGAAAAGAAAACAUAUGAAAGAAAAAAACUCAAUAAUAAAUAUAUAGCCAAG